UAAAUCAAGAGAUAUGUAUAAAAAAAAAAAAAAAGAAAGAAAUAGCAAAAAAUAAACUAAUUCAAUUAUAUUAUUCUUAUUAGGAUAAUAAUUUACUGCGCAGAAUCAUGCGCAGUUCAAUAUUGAAAAGACAAGAUGGCGAUACGGAAAAGGCAUCGUGGGAUACGCAAUAAGAAUGGCGUCGUUCAAAAAUUCCUUAUGAUUCAUUGGCAUGUUGGAGAGGUUAACUUUUAUAAAACGUAUAAAAAGAGAAGAAUAGAAGAA